rnacentral:rRNA from 1 species
AGAGUUUGAUCAUGGCUCAGGAUGAACGCUAGCUACAGGCUUAACACAUGCAAGUCGAGGGGCAGCAUGUUGGUUGCUUGCAACCAAUGAUGGCGACCGGCGCACGGGUGAGUAACGCGUAUCCAACCUACCCUUGUCCAUCGGAUAACCCGUCGAAAGGCGGCCUAACACGAUAUGCGGUUCACGGCAGGCAUCUAAGGUGAACGAAAUGUGAAGGAGAAGGAUGGGGAUGCGUCUGAUUAGCUUGUUGGCGGGGUAACGGCCACCAAGGCUACGAUCAGUAGGGGUUCUGAGAGGAAGGCCCCCCANAUUGGAACUGAGACACGGUCCAAACUCCUACGGGAGGCA